GGGGAAUUUUGGACAAUGGGCGCAAGCCUGAUCCAGCAAUGCCGCGUGCAGGAUGAAGGCCUUCGGGUUGUAAACUGCUUUUGUCAGGGAAUAAACCCCCGUACGUGUACGGGGCUGAAGGUACCUGAAGAAUAAGCAUCGGCUAACUCCGUGCCAGCAGCCGCGGUAAUACGGAGGAUGCAAGCGUUAUCCGGAUUCAUUGGGUUUAAAGGGUGCGCAGGCGGAUUGAUAAGUCAGGGGUGAAAUCCCACAGCUCAACUGUGGAACUGCCUUUGAUACUGUUAGUCUUGAGUAUAGUUGAAGUGGGCGGAAUGUGUCAUGUAGCGGUGAAAUGCUUAGAUAUGACACAGAACACCGAUCGCGAAGGCAGCUCGCUAAGCUAUAACUGACGCUCAUGCACGAAAGCGUGGGGAUCAAACA
rnacentral:rRNA from 1 species